ACUCCUACGGGAGGCAGCAGUAGGGAAUCUUCCACAAUGGACGAAAGUCUGAUGGAGCAACGCCGCGUGAGUGAAGAAGGGUUUCGGCUCGUAAAACUCUGUUGUUAAAGAAGAACAUAUCUGAGAGUAACUGUUCAGGUAUUGACGGUAUUUAACCAGAAAGCCACGGCUAACUACGUGCCAGCAGCCGCGGUAAUACGUAGGUGGCAAGCGUUGUCCGGAUUUAUUGGGGCGUAAAGCGAGCGCAGGCGGUUUUUAAAGUCUGAUGUGAAAGCCUUCGGCUCAACCGAAGAAGUGCAUCGGAAACUGGGAAACUUGAGUGCAGAAGAGGACAGUGGAACUCCAUGUGUAGCGGUGAAAUGCGUAGAUAUAUGGAAGAACACCAGUGGCGAAGGCGGCUGUCUGGUCUGUAACUGACGCUGAGGCUCGAAAGUAUGGGUAGCAAACAGGAUUAGAUACCCUGGUAGGAUAGCGG
rnacentral:rRNA from 1 species